rnacentral:lncRNA from 1 species
GGGGCGAGAGGCCACAUGUCUCCCUCUCGCCAAACUGAAAACGAAACGGCGCUCCAGCAGAUUGGGUGGAAAGAGCUGUGUCUGUUUUCUCUGUUUUUCACGCUAGAAAGGGCUUGUAAACAUUGUUCCUUUUAAAAUGACCUACCCCGGGAGGUUUGGGCACACUUCUGUCCUGGGGUCAUCGUUCGUAGGUGGCUUCGGACCUGGGACUUUGAUUUCCUGUAUCUGCACAUUGUCGUUUUAUACACAAUUGCCAAGGUAGGACUGCUUUCAACUUUACUGUGCUUGAAGCUGCAAAGGUUCUGCCCUGAUGUUUCCUGGAAUAAUGCUGAGGACUGCCUUUCGGGUAGCCUCCCUAUUCAGUUCACUUCAUCUCGGAAAUACCUGACCCCUGCCUUGGAUCCAGCGGCCCUCCUGAGAGCUGAGGAAGGAGGAAAUCCUACAUGUCUGCUCCCGGAGCUGCCACAACCCAUCUUCCCACAACUCGGAACUUGGAAAAAGGAACCCAGGACACGACUUUGCUUUUCUUUUGGACCUAGUUGGUGAUUAUACUCUGUCUCCCAUGGAGACCACGUCUUGCAUCCUUCCUUCUAUAUGGGAUUUAGGAUAGAAAUUAAAAAGAAAACAUAUUAUUUUGAGUCUUGAUUUGGAGAAAGGUAGUAUUCAGGAGGAAGUAGGCUAUGAUACACAUAGAAAAUUUGAGGACAGUGUUACUUAACAAGGACAUUUCUGUCUCUGCAGAAGUCACAGCUUGGAGGAAACCAGUUUGCACUGUUUGAGGAGGAAUUUGGCCACCGAACCACUGAUACUUUCCCAAAGGUUUGGCAGAAAUUGUUUUUUGAGUGGCUCACCAGAGUACCUAGAAGAAUCAGCAUGGAAUUAGAGGACAGUGGCCUACCCUAAAUAAAGACAUGAG